UACGUAGGGGGCAAGCGUUAUCCGGAUUUACUGGGUGUAAAGGGAGCGUAGACGGCAUAGCAAGUCUGAAGUGAAAGGCUGGGGCUCAACCCCGGGACUGCUUUGGAAACUGUUAGGCUGGAGUGCAGGAGAGGUAAGUGGAAUUCCUAGUGUAGCGGUGAAAUGCGUAGAUAUUAGGAGGAACACCAGUGGCGAAGGCGGCUUACUGGACUGUAACUGACGUUGAGGCUCGAAAGCGUGGGGAGCAAACAGG
rnacentral:rRNA from 1 species